rnacentral:rRNA from 1 species
UACGAAGGGGGCGAGCGUUGUCCGGAUUUACUGGGCGUAAAGGGCGCGUAGGCGGCGUGACAAGUCACUUGUGAAAUCUCUGAGCUUAACUCAGAACGGCCAAGUGAUACUGCAGUGCUAGAGUGUGGAAGGGGCAAUCGGAAUUCUUGGUGUAGCGGUGAAAUGCGUAGAGAUGUGGAGGAACACCAAUGGCGAAGGCAGCCUUCUGGGCCAACACUGACGCUCAUGCACGAAAGCGUGGGGAGCAAACAGG